UCACUGAGGCUGAGCUAAGCCAGGUGGUAUGACCUUGAACAUCCAGAACUGUGAGCUAGAAUAAGCCUCUUCACAAAGUACUGAGUCUCAGAUCCAAGAUUGAUUUCAAGAACUUCUGAGAUCGCUGUUCUUCUUGCAUUGAAAGUAAACCACAUGGCCCAGAUGUGAAAACUGGUUCAGAGACGUGUGACUACCUGCUGCCCAAGGUCACAGGGCAAGAGAAGGCCAUAUCAGUUCUGACCAAGGUCCCCUCUAUCCCGGUCCCUGUUCCUGUGGCUCAUGUAACCCUCACCCAGCCCCCGGGCUGUCACCUUCCCUGUCCUCCGGGGAGGGAUCUGUGACCCAGAGCAGUGCACUGAAGGAGCAGGUGCGGUGACAUCCCACCCUCAUGGAGCAGAGGUGCCUCUGAGACACCUGCAGCCCUGCCUCCUUCCUCCUACUGUGAGCUCUUCCUGUCAGGGAAGGGGAAGGAGAUAGGGACCAAGGUGUGACCUUGCCUGCUCUCCAGGUUCUGGCUCCCUCAGGGGACUCUAGGCGUGGGGUGAGUGGGGAAAGUCCCAAGCUGACAACCCAGGGACACUCUCAGCAACCUGUGGAAGCAGAAAGCAGCCCUGAGGGUCAGGGGGUGCUUCCUGGGAGAGAAGACAUCUGAGCU